rnacentral:ncRNA from 1 species
CAAAGAGGGGUUUUAGGAGCCUCUCUUAGAAGGUUAAUAAAAGUUUAGGAUAAACCCUAAGCUAGUUUGUUUGCUAUGAUUUGCAUAAUAGCUAUACAAGCAAGAUUCUCAAAUUGCGGGGAUACCCUAAAGAUUAAGUAACCAACUAUAUCUAGAAAUAGUUAUAGGGCGCAGGUAAUGACUAGCGGUACGGUAAAAUCACUUAAUAUGUAGGAAACUUAAAUGGGCAAUCCGCAGCCAAGUACAUAAGCUUUGCCCCAGGUGGGCUAAGGUCUGUAUGCAGUUCAACGACUAGACGGGAGUCGGCUAGAAAAUAUCUAGCUUAAGAUAUAGUCUGGCCCUGUAUGAAAAUACAUA